rnacentral:lncRNA from 1 species
AGUGUUUACUUCGCCUCCACUUCUGUUCCUCCCCGCCCUGGUGCUGCUCCAGGUCACAUACUCUUCCUGAGCCGGCUUCAGCCUCUCCGCGCAGAAGUCUCCCGGAGCCAUGGCCUAGUAUUCUUAUGUGAAGUCUACCAAGCUUGUGCUCAAGGGAACCGAGAUUUGCCUGAGGUUGACUGUACAUGCAAAUAUUGAGCUUUCCUCCUGGCCUCCGUGAUAAACAGAAGUUUUGAUAUUGUUAGGCGAGAUGGAAAGAAAGUAUCAAGGAGUGAGCUGAAGCCACUGCCCUUGAGAACCCUCUCGAGGAGUCUGGCCUCAUGAAGAUGCCAGAAUAAAUGGCAGUAAGAAGAAAAAGAGCAAAGAUAAGAAGAGAAAAAGAGAAGAUGAAGAAACCCAGCUUGAUAUGUUGAGGAACGCAGCUGCUCACCAGCAACGGAACAAAGCUGGACGGAGAAUGACUUUGAAGAGCUGAGAGAAGGCUUCAGACGAUCAAAUUACUCUGAGCUACGGGAGGACAUUCAAACCAAAGGCAAAGAAGUUGAAAACUUUGAAAAAAAUAAAUGUACAUUAAUUAACGUGGAAUCUGGUGAACAGUAACAAACUUUGGUGAAAUUUCAGGAACCAUAGCCAUUGAAGUGGAUGAGGGAACCUAUAUACAUGCACUCAACAAUGGUCUUUUUACCCUGGGAGCUCCACACAAAGAAGAAUCGCCCUGAAACCUGGCUAUGGAAAAUAUCUUAGUAUAAAUUCAGAUGAACUUGUUGUUGGCGUUCAGAUGCAAUUGGACCAAGAGAACAAUGGGAACCAGUCUUUCAAAAUGGUGCCUGUGCAGCAGUAUUCACUGUGAUAGGAAGUGAGAAGCAGUCUGAGUGUUCAUUGCUGAGGGAAUCAAGGGCAAAAUAUCAUGGAUGCACUCAUGGACAAAUAAGCAGCAGUUUGAAGCAACACCCUAGAUGGAUGUACAGCCAUCAAGAGGAUCUUAAAGUGUGGUCUUUAGUGGAAAAAAAGCAGAAGCAAUGUAUGGGAGACUGAGUAAUUACAUAUGAGCUCACAUCACUAUCUCUUCCACCACUGUCAUCCAUCAUGACUGAUCUGGGAGAUGAAACAGCACAGAUCUAAAGGACGUGGUAAGAAUCGAGAUCACCAGAGAUCAGUAGAUACUUGCAUACUUGGAGGAUUAACACUGUCUGGAUUCCAACGAUCAGCUGAGUAUGUUCAAGAUAAAGCUAUAGUACAUAUUUUAGAUUGGGAAUUGGCAACAAAUAGCUGUAGACUACCUUCUGAGGAAUAAGUGUUUUCACAUGUGUGGGUGUCAUUUCUAAUCCCAGCAUCACAGUCAGGUCCAGAUACCUGUUUCUGAUCUUUGGUCCUAUGCCUAAUCUCCUCCAAGAGUCCUUCCCUGGAUCUCCUAUCUAAGCAAGAUGCUCGAUGCCCACCAAUGAGUACUGCACCAAGUUCAUUUCCACUAGCCUGUGUUACAAUUUGUGUUUCUGUAUGUUUCCCUUACUUGUUAUUCUUUGUCUUCCCCAUUAGACUGAAAGCACCGCCACGGGGACCGUGUCUAGGACAUAGGAGGUCCUUAAUAAAUAUUUCUUGAGUGGAUAAAUGGUGAACCAUAGGGGUGGCAUAAGAGCAAAUAGAGGGUAGAUGAGCACUAAUCCAUUCACCACCCUGUUUAUGGGUGGUGGACCUUGGAUGGCCUUUUUCAUAGUCAAAACAUACUUUUUAGAUCUGCCUUCUUGGGAUGUAUUCAAGGAUGCUAGCCGUGUUUGAGACUGUAAAUAUGUCUAGUGAAUAGGGCUUCAGGCUGUGUGUGUUUGCCUUGUUUUGCACAGAAUUCGGCACAGCCCCAAGCACAGAUGGGUGCUUCAUAAAUAUUGUUGAAGGAUGAUGACACAAAGGAUUAUUUAAUACCUCUGACCUCAGGCCACAAACAUACUUUCAAUGUGUUUUACUUCUGAAAUCAUUUGAACCAGAAUGUUUCAGCAACACAGAUUCAUCUGCAACCACAAAUCAGACACAUUUAGAAUGACAAAGCCCCAAAAGAAUGCCAUUUUCAAGGCUGAAACUGUAUUAUUCUGGGCUAAAUGGAAUCCUUGUUUUAGUGACACUGUAAGAGUAGAAAUUAAAGACACUGAAAAUCUUCCCUUGGGGAACCACAAUUAUCUGUGAACAAUGAAAGUUUGUCUGAAUAAUUCAUCAGCCUCAAGGGUACAGGCCUCCCCUUAUUCUGGAAUCCCAGGAGUUUAGGCAAGUGUGUCAUUUAAUGGGUCUCAACUGUGUCCUCAGUUGUUAUUAUUCCAGGGCCUGGCAUUUAUGGGCACAUUCCUAUAAUUUUACUAAUUAAAAAAAAAUAAGCUAUAUGGGAAACCACUGUCAAGGUCAAAAUUUUGAAGCUGCAUUGAUUUUACCUAGGAAGAAAGAAGCUUAUAAAGUGUCCAUCAUGAGAAUCCACCUGGGACCUACACAACAGAUCAAAUACCCAGAACAAAUCACCACGUCAGAGCCCCACAGAAUUCUGAUUCCCAACCAACAAGCAUGAGUAAUCCUUUUAAAUGGUCACUUACAUAUCAGAACAGGUCCUUUGUGAAAUUUCUAAGCAAGGCCUCUGGUUUCUGACUGAAACAGAGAUUUAUUGAGAAGGAGGGGUAAAGUGAAAUCAAGAACUGCUGGGAAAUUUCCACAAGAAACAAGGACAAAUGGUUUUUGUUGUCAGAGUAAAACCAGCCUCCCCUAGCCAUGGUUUGGAAAGUUAUUUGCUAGCCCACAGGGGACAAUAUUCUCAACUGGUUUAUCAGGGACCCUUUUGAUCCAAUUAUAGUUAUUGGGCAGAUACAGUAGUACCCUAUUAUCAGAAGACCUAGUUUCAAAUCCUGAGUCAACUUCUAAUUCACUGUGUGACCUUGUACAAGUCACUUAAGCUCUCUGAUCAUUGGUUCAACAUCUUUAAUAUGAGGAGAGUAAUGCCUAUCUCAAUUACCUCAUAAAAUUAUUGCAAAGAUCAAGUGAGUUGAUAUGUUACAAAUUAUUUCUAAAUUAUAAGAUUCUGUAUAAGUGGAAGGGUUAAAUAUACUCCCAUAUUAUUAAAUACCCUACGUAUCACUCAGGAUUCUAUAUGACUCUGAGUUCUCAAUUUCUAGAAAUGGUCCCAUUUUUACUUUGUUCCCUACAAUUCUACGGAGUCUUUUUUUUUUUUAAAGGAAGGGUGUAGGCAAAGGUAAAUGGGAGAAAACAUGGAAUCACAUACCACUCUUUGGUGCUGCUAGGCAAGAAUUUUAAACUGAGUUUAGGUCACCAUCGUGGACUUAAGGUCCAUAUCACCUCAGGGAGACAAGUAGAGUGGGAGGCAUCCAAAAGGUAGGUGAUUCUUCUCCCCUCUAGUGAAGAAUACAAGGUCAAUUUACAAAAAAGCACCAGCAGCAAAUAAUUGGAAAAUUAAAUUCAUAAAACAUUUAUAAUAGCGUCAAAAAAAAGAAAAUACUCAGAAAUAAAUUUGACAAAAAUUGUAUAAGAUCUCUACAUUAAAAAUUAUGAAAUACAUGUAAGAGAAAUUAAAGAAAACCUAAAUAGAGAGAUAUACCACAUUCAUGGAUUGGAAGAUUCAAGAUUAUUAAAAUACUAUUCUCCCCAAAUGGCUCUAUAGAUUCAACAUAAUCCCAAUCAAAAUCCCAGUAGGCUUUGGUAGAAAUUGAGAUGUUGGUUCUAAAAUGAAAUAAAAUGCAGAGGACCUAGAAUAUAUAAUUUCCCUUUAAUUUGACAAAGAAGAAAAACAUGUUGGGAAGCUCACCUAAUUUCAGUGUAAUAUUUACAUACGAAUCAACAAAUGGAUCAGUGGUAUAGAAUAGAGAAUCCUGAAAUAGAUCUACAUAUAUAUGGCCAACAGAUUUUUAAUAAUGGUGCCAAGGCUAUUCAGGGGAAAGAAAAUUCUUUUUUAAAAAUGGGAUUGGAAAAACUGGAUAAGGGAAAUAAGUGAACCUCGACCCCUACCUUAUACCGUGCUCAAAAAUUAAUUCAAAAUCAUUCUAGACAUAAAUGUAAAAGUUGAAACUGCAAUGACUCUAGAAGAAAAUAUAGAGAAAAUAUCUCUCUGACCUUGGAGGAAGCAAAAAUUUCUUGUAGUUGACAAAGACAUAUAUAAUAAUCAUAUAAUCCAUUAAUUAUAAGAAAAAUAAACUAGACUUCAUCAAAAUUUAAAACUUCUGCUCAUCAAAAGAUACUAAUAAGAUUAAAAGUAGCCAGGUUCAGUGGCUCAUGCCCAUAAUCCCAGCACUUUGGGAGGCUGAAGCAGGGGGAUCACUUGAGGCCAGGAGUUUGAGACCAGCCUAGGCAACAUAGCAAGAUCUCAUUUCUACAAAAAAUGUUUUUAAAAUUAACUGGGUAUGAUGGCGCAUGUGUAGUCCUAGCUACUCAGGAGGCUGAGUUGGGAGGAUUGCUUGAGCCCAGCAGUUGAAGGUUACAGUGAACUAUGAUCGUACCACUGCACUCCAGCCUGGGCAACAGAGUGAGACCCUUUCUCUAAAAUAAACAAAUAAAUAAUUUUUAUGUCAUCUGAAACUAAGAUCAUACUGAAAUUUUCCCUCAGUGUCUCCAGAAUGUCUUUUUUGAAUGGUUUGCCCAAUGUAGUAUCUCAUUUAGAACCACGUGUUAUGGCCCUUCAGUAUUUUUUUGUUGUUGUUGUUGUUGAGACAGAGUUUCACUCUUGUUCUCUUGUUGCCCAGGCUGGAGUGCAAUGGCAUGGUAUCGGCUCACUGCAACCUCUGUCUCCUGGGUUCAAGCGAUUUUCCUGCCUCAGCCUCCCAAGUAGCUGGGAUUACAGGCAUGCGUCAUCAUACCUAGCUAAUUUGUCCCAUAGAAUCUCAUCUUCUGGAUUUUGUGGCUAUUUUUUCAUGGUGUUGAUUCAUUCAUAAGGUAAAAUUUAUAUACAGUGAAAUGCAUUUUAUGGGUACAAUUCAAUGAGUUUUGAAAAGUGUGCACAUCCAUGUAACCACCACCCAGAUUAAGACACAGAACAUUCCCGUCACCUCAGAAUGUUUCCCGGUGCCUUCUUCCUACCCCUCAUACAGUAACAUUGUAAUAAUUUCUAUUGCCACAUAUAUGUUUACCUGUUCUGAAACUUCACAGAAAUGGAAUUAUAUAUUAUGUAUUUGUUUGUUACUGGCUUUUUAUCAUUUAAUUUUUUUUUAUUCAUCCACACCCACUGCAUGUGUCAGUAUUUCAUUCCUUCUUGUUAUUGUGUAGUAUACGAAUAUAUAAAUAUAUCACUAUUUUUGCAAUCUCCUGUUGAUGGACAUUUGUAUUGUUUCCAGUUAUUAGCUAUUAUGAAUCAUGCAACUAUGUAUAUUAUUAUACAGGUCUUUUGUGGACACAUCUCCAUUAUUUUUGGGUAAAUAUUUAGGAAUGGAAUGUUGGUCAGCUGUAGGCUCCAUUUUACAAGAAACUGCCAAACUGUCUUCCAUUCUACACUUUUGUUUGCAAUGUAUGAAAGUUCUGGUUGCUUCCUAUCCUAAUCAACAUUUGGUGUGGGACUACAGGAACAUGCCACUACACCUGAUUGAUUAAAGAAAAUUUUUUGUAGAGACAGGGUUUUGCUCUAUUGCCCAGGCUGGUCUUGAAUUCCUGGCCUCAAGUGAUCCUCCCACCUCAGCCACUCAAAGCUCUAGGAUUACAGGUGUGAGUCGCCACGACCGGCCAAAAUUUAUUAAUUGGUAGUUGGCAAUUGUUGAUGGAAAAGAAAAAGCAGGUUACAAGCAAUGUACUUUUUGAUGUCUUUGGUAUUAUCACAGGCAAAUAAAUUAUAUAUGUAUAUAUAUUAUGUAUAUUAUAUUAUGUAUUUUAAUUAUAUGUGUAUAACGUAUAUGUAUAGAAAGAGAUACAGUAAGGAAUAUAAGUUUUUCUAUUAACAUAGGUAACCCAAGGUAGGGGAUAAGAUGUUUACAUUCUCUUAUUUGUGUUUUCUAACUUUCCACCAGGCACAUACACUGUUUCUAUAAUAACACGUGCUGGUUGAAAAUGUCAGACUCUGAAAUUCAAUGUUUUAUAAUAUAGGGUGAUAGACAAGAGGGAUGGAUAGAGCAAGAAGAAUGAAACCUAAUAGGGUUAGUUAGAGCCCUACUGAGUGAAUCUCUUGUUGGGUAUUUUCCAUGCACUGUCUCGUUUCAUUCUUACAAUAAACCUAUGAAGUAUCAUUUUUCUAUUUGUACAGCGCUAAUAAGGCUAUAAGUUAGCAUUUGAACAUAAUAUAAUCUGACCUCAAAACCCAUGCUUUUUUUCCCU